GUAUAUGUGCACUUUUUAAUUUGCUUAUAUUUUCUAUAAACGUAACGGUAUAUUUUUUGUAGGUAUGCAAGUUUGUACUCUUAUCUAUUAUAAAGAUCUCCCACUCCAAUGUUCCUCUUUGCGCUUCAUUCUUUGUACCGUUUUAAAUAAUAUGUGUAACAACUCGUGGUUUUCAAAGGCAAUAAGUAUAUGUGCAAGCUUAGAUUAUUGUGCUAUCGCGUGCGGGUAAGCUAAGAAGUGUGAUCCAAAAAAGUUAUUUAAUCAGCAGAAUAAUGCCACGUGGAACACAUUUGUCGGAGGGAGAUCGCGGUCUGAUCAAAGGGCUGGCCGAAUCUGGCAAGAAUACUUCUUAUAUUGCCGCUAGACUAAAUCGGCAUAGAAACACAAUAGCAAACUUUCUCAAAAAUCCGGAAAUGUAUGGAAAAAUAAAGCGAAGCGGCAGACCCACUGAAAUCGAUACGCGGUGCAAGAGGCAAAUUCGUCGUCUAGCCGUUCAAAACAACAAGUCUUGCAUGGAGAUCAAAGGUCAACUGAAGCUUGACAUAUCCAAAAGACGUAUAAAUCAAAUUUUAAACGAAACCGAAAUGGUUACAUAUGCUUCCCGCGACGCUGUACCGAGGUUAUUGAAGCGCCACAUAACCGCUCGACUAGAAUUUGCUGAGAAGUACAAAUUUUGGUCAGAGGAGUUCACUAAAGUUAUAUUUUCGGAU